rnacentral:lncRNA from 1 species
CUUGGAGCAGAUUUUCUUGCACUACAAACUUUACCUUUACUUGGAGAAAGCAGGCAUGUGCCUCUGACUCUGCUGCCCGCUGCUAUGUGCCUUAUGUCAGUGUAAGUUACCUUCUAUGUGUUUGAUUCUACUUUUUUCUAUGCUGCUCUAGAAUCUCUUCCCAUUCAUUCAAAGUAAAUAAGAGAUUCAGCACACAGGAGACGGACGUACUGGGAUUAGACUGACAAGCAUGACCUCAUCCCAGCCUAUCCCAACCUGCUGUCCACGCUGCAUUCGAAUGAUGAAAAGUGCUCUUCUGACCGGGAAUGAGCACCUGAGCCCCUGGUUGAGGUUGGGCAUGCCAAGGAGCCAGCAUUAUCACUAUGAAACAACACUACCUGUAUCAGCAGUGACAACGAGUGGCUCUGCCUGGGACCUGCCGAGUGGAAUUAGUCUCUAAGGCUCAGAAAAUCUUUUCUGAACCUCUAACCCAAAAAGCACACACAGGGGGCACUUUUUUUUGCAAAGCAAUAUGAGAUACAAACCUCAUUUCAGCCUUUCACAUCCACCAAAUUACCCAAAACACCAUUCAGCUGUGCUACAUGCCACAUGCAAGACUCAAGUCCUUCAGAUAACUGGCUGCCUCCCUAGGAGAAUAUUGCAUUGGUCGCAUAAGCCCAGGCCAAGCAGAACUGAGAGAGUCCCGCAAUCCAGCGCAUUAUUUUUCUUACUGGAAAGAUGCCCUACUGGGGGCAGGCACCCAAUGGGCAAAGCAGUGGCAUGUGCUGAAAAUGCCACUGCAGCCUGCUACACGCCUCCAUGA